UACAGAGGGGGCAAGCGUUGUUCGGAAUUACUGGGCGUAAAGGGCGCGUAGGCGGCCCGCUAAGUCGAACGUGAAAUCCCUGGGCUCAACCCAGGAACUGCGUCCGAUACUGGCGGGCUUGAAUCCGGGAGAGGGAUGUGGAAUUCCAGGUGUAGCGGUGAAAUGCGUAGAUAUCUGGAGGAACACCGGGUGGCGAAGGCGGCGAUCCUGGACCGGUAUUGACGCUGAUGCGCGAAAGCCAGGGGAGCAAACAGG
rnacentral:rRNA from 1 species